rnacentral:miRNA from 1 species
UUUGACGUGCUCGAUCUGCUC